rnacentral:rRNA from 1 species
AUUGAACGCUGGCGGCAUGCCUUACACAUGCAAGUCGAACGGCAGCGCGGGAGCAAUCCUGGCGGCGAGUGGCGAACGGGUGAGUAAUAUAUCGGAACGUGCCCAGUAGUGGGGGAUAGCCCGGCGAAAGCCGGAUUAAUACCGCAUGAGACCUGAGGGUGAAAGCGGGGGAUCGCAAGACCUCGCGCUAUUGGAGCGGCCGAUAUCAGAUUAGCUAGUUGGUGGGGUAAAGGCCUACCAAGGCAACGAUCUGUAGUUGGUCUGAGAGGACGACCAGCCACACUGGGACUGAGACACGGCCCAGACUCCUACGGGAGGCAGCAGUGGGGAAUAUUGGUCAAUGGGCGAAAGCCUGAACCAGCAAUGCCGCGUGAGUGAUGAAGGCCU